GGGGAAUAUUGCACAAUGGAGGAAACUCUGAUGCAGCGACGCCGCGUGAGGGAAGAAGGUCUUCGGAUUGUAAACCUCUGUCCCUGGUGACGAUAAUGACGGUAGCCAGGGAGGAAGCCACGGCUAACUACGUGCCAGCAGCCGCGGUAAUACGUAGGUGGCAAGCGUUGUCCGGAAUUACUGGGUGUAAAGGGAGCGUAGGCGGGUGCGCAAGUUGAAUGUCAAAUCUACCGGCUUAACUGGUAGCCGCGUUCAAAACUGCGUAUCUUGAGUGAAGUAGAGGCAGGCGGAAUUCCUAGUGUAGCGGUGAAAUGCGUAAAUAUUAGGAGGAACACCAGUGGCGAAGGCGGCCUGCUGGGCUUUAACUGACGCUGAGGCUCGAAAGCGUGGGGAGCAAAC
rnacentral:rRNA from 1 species